rnacentral:rRNA from 1 species
GACGAACGCUGGCGGCGCGCUUAACACAUGCAAGUCGAGCGAAGCGGCGGACGGGUGAGUAACACGUGAGUAACCUGCCUUAGACAUUGGGAUAGCCUCGGGAAACCGGGAUUAAUACCAAAUGGUCUAAGAUGGACUCGCGUCCCAUUAGCUAGGUGGUGAGGUAACGGCCCACCAAGGCGACGAUGGGUAGCCGGCCUGAGAGGUUGGGCGGCGACUUUGAAACUGAGAAACAGUCCAAACUCUACGGGAGGCGGGAGUGGGGAAUAUUGCACAAUGGAGGGAACUAUGAAGCAGCGACGACGCGUGAGCGAAGAAGGCUUUCGAGUCGUAAAGUUCUGUUAUAUGGGAAGCGGUACCAUAAGAAAAAGCCCCGGCUAACUACGUGCCAGCAGCCGCGGUAAUAC